rnacentral:rRNA from 1 species
CGAGGUUAAAGCGGAUGUACAUACGUAGCCGAACGGGGGAUCUCAUCUCCAAGAGCCGCCAGGCGUGGUUGCGUUCGGACCGUCGGCGUCCUCGCCCCUCACCGGGCGUAGGUCGCGCCGGAGGCCGUCGUAGCUUCGGUCUCGGUGGACGAUGGGGUGGAUUUUCCUCCUUAGUAGGCAGUCGCGGCCGCUCGACGGUUGUCUAAGGCUCGGGAGUUGGGAACCGUUCAGCGGGACGACCGCUGGCGGGGACGCUCCCUUGAUUCUGGCGGACUGUCGGGCGGUGAAACAGACGAUUCGGUCUAGACAGAGAGACCGAGCCGUACGCGGCCGAACGAGCGAUCGUUCAUCCGUCCCGUCUUGAAACACGGACCAAGGAGUCUAUCAUGUGCGCGAGUCAAAGGGUUGGCUAAACCCAAAGGCGCUAACGAAAGUAAAAAAGGCCUCCCGAAGCCCUCGGGCUUAGGGCGGUCGUUGGGUCGAUCCGAGCUCCCUUGGGGGACCGGCGCAGACCCGGGGCUCGCCGCUACCUCCGUAGAGUCCCCGUUCACGCGGGGAUUCGCGGCGGACGGCGGGCACCUUGAGCGUACAUGCUAGUACCCGAAAGAUGGUGAUCUAUGCCUGGCCAGGAUGAAGCCAGAGGAAACUCUGGUGGAG